rnacentral:rRNA from 1 species
GCAGAGCAUCCUACGGGAGGCAGGCAGUGGGGAAUAUUGCACAAUGGGCGCAAGCCUGAUGCAGCCAUGCCGCGUGUAUGAAGAAGGCCUUCGGGUUGUAAAGGUACUUUCAGCAGUGAGGAAGGUGGGUAUGUUAAUAGCAUACUCAUUUGACGUUAGCUGCAGAAGAAGCACCGGCUAACUCCGUGCCAGCAGCCGCGGUAAUACGGAGGGUGCGAGCGUUAAUCGGAAUUACUGGGCGUAAAGCGCAUGCAGGUGGUUUGUUAAGUCAGAUGUGAAAGCCCGGGGCUCAACCUCGGAAUUGCAUUUGAAACUGGCAAACUAGAGUACUGUAGAGGGGGUAGAAUUUCAGGUGUAGCGGUGAAAUGCGUAGAGAUCUGAAGGAAUACCGGUGGCGAAGGCGGCCCCCUGGACAGAUACUGACACUCAGAUGCGAAAGCGUGAGGAGCAAACAGGAUUAGAUACCCUGGUAG